CUCCUGGUGGCGUAGUGGUUAAGUGCUAUGGCUGCUAACCAAAAGGUCGGCAGUUCGAAUCUGCCAGGAGC
rnacentral:tRNA from 1 species